AUUGAACGCUGGCGGCGUGCCUAAUACAUGCAAGUCGAACGCAGUGGGGACGGGUGAGUAAAACGUGGGUAACCUCCCAUCAGAGGGGAUAACACUUGGAAACAGGUGCUAAACGCGAUACUGAUGGAUGGACCCGCGGUGCAUUAGCUAGUUGGUGAGGUAACGGCUCACCAAGGCCACGAUGCCUAGCCGGCCUGAGAGGGUGAUCGGCCACACUGGGACUGAGACACGGCCCAGACUCCUACGGGAGGCAGCAGUAGGGAAUAUUCCGCAAUGGACGAAAGUCUGACCGAGCAACGCCGCGUGAGUGAAGAAGGUUUUCGGGUCGUAAAACUCUGUUAUUAGAGAAGCGUUAUCUAACCAGAAAGCCACGGCUAACUACGUGCCAGCAGCCGCGGUAAUAC
rnacentral:rRNA from 1 species